CGGGACGGGUGAGUAAUGUCUGGGAAACUGCCUGAUGGAGGGGGAUAACUGCUGGAAACGGUAGCUAAUACCGCAUAACGUCGCAAGACCAAAGAGGGGGACCUUCGGGCCUCUUGCCAUCGGAUGUGCCCAGACGGGAUUAGCUAGUAGGUGGGGUAACGGCUCACCUAGGCGACGAUCCCUAGCUGGUCUGAGAGGAUGGCCAGCCACACUGGAACUGAGACACGGUCCAG
rnacentral:rRNA from 1 species